GUCUAGGAACUAACUUAGGCAAUAAUUAGUAUACCUUCAAACAACCAUUCACAAUGCAAGAUCAGAUACAUUUUUUUUAAAAUAAAAUAACAUUUUAAAGAAUGAUUUGCUGAAUAAAACCAACCUGUCACAGUCUGUUGUUCAACCUGCCUGUUACUAACGUUCUCUCACCCUAAGAGGCGCUGGAGCUGCAGACCGGAGUGUUGACAGGUGUACGUCGUUGCUUCAUCAGCUGGAGGACUAUAUGAGGGUGGUUCGCUGGCUUUUCUACGCCUGAGUGUUUGCCUACCGUGGUAGUGUUUACCUGGCCAUUAUCUGCUGAAUUCUGGAAGCUCCACUUGUUUUUUUGAGCCUUGAUUAAUUAUCCGUCUUGUUUCCUUCGUCAUAGGCUGUUCACGCCCAGCCGGGGUUUCCUCCUGAACACACCUCCUGUCAAGACUGGAAUCUGCUGCUGCCCUAGCGAGUCCUCCAGCUGGAGGCGCAACCUGUCCACCACUUUGUUACCUGGAACAUCAGAUGGCUCCAAUCGUUUCCGUGCAGGCACUACCACAGCUUGAACCGGUUUCUCCCCCUGGCGGAUCGAUCGCUUUCCGGAAAUCUGUCUCCUGAUCGCUCUGCCCACGUUGUUCCUGAGUCGAAAAGAAAUAAAAGAAAAACUUAAUUUA